rnacentral:rRNA from 1 species
UACAGAGGGUGCAAGCGUUAAUCAGAAUUACUGGGCGUAAAGCGUGCGUAGUCGGUUAUUUAAGUCGGAUGUGAAAUCCCCGGGCUCAACCUGGGAAUUGCAUUCGAUACUGGAUAGCUAGAGUUCGGCAGAGGGAAGUGGAAUUUCGGGUGUAGCGGUGAAAUGCGUAGAUAUCCGAAGGAACAUCAGUGGCGAAAGCGACUUCCUGGACCAGAACUGACGAUCAGGCACGAAAGCGUGGGGAGCAAACAGG